rnacentral:lncRNA from 1 species
UAAAAUUAAGUGGAAAACCUUUUUAACGAAAUCAUGAAAAGAUUCACAGAUAGUCAUGCAGGAACAUGGAUAUAGUUUUUAACAAAAAACAAGUACCAAAUCUCAGCAGAUUUCAAAAGAUCUAAACCCUAGAUUUAGGGUAAAAUAAGGAAUAAGCAAAAUCUCAGGGAUUCAAACCAUAAGAAGACGGAGAAAGAACUAGAAAGAGAUGAUUAUUCGAACCAUAUUUUGUUCAAAACAAGAGAUAUCCACCUUCCAUGUUAGGUAAGUGAUUAUGUAAUACCAUAAUAGAUUAUUCAGUAGACAAAAGGAGCCUGAUAAGGGAAGAAAUCACCAAAUUAUUCUAUAUCUGGUUGGAAUCGAAGGGGAUUAGGAAGGGAUUUGAGUAAUGGCACUUAGGCUUUGAUAGAGAGAACUGGAGAGUUUGAGAGAGUUCAAGGGCGACG